rnacentral:lncRNA from 1 species
UACGUGAUGUUUUGAAUAACAGUAGUUGCUUUGGAAAAUCGUGUUCUAAUACUAGCAAUUAUAAGAACAAUAAAUAAAAUUCCAAAUUUGAAAUCCAAAAAAUUACAACGGCUUUACUACAACCCACAUAAAAUAAUUUAAAGGUAAUAAUCAAAACUGUAACAUAAAUAGUGUGUGUGGCUUCCUCCGAUCCCCUAGCAACCCCGAUCCAUCUAAGGCUGGAAAUUACCUGAUUGGAGACUGGAGUUAAUCCACGCUCCGAGCACUCUUAGCCGACGCCCAACCCAAACGAGCACGCCAUAAAGCGAAAGGGAUCAGCCAAGAAAGGU